CUCACACUGAAUCACAGAAGAGGAAAACACCUUAUAGUUUAAACAUCUUAGACUCCGACUGAUUGAAUUCGCAGAACUCGAAACGUCUCAGCAUGCUCUGAUUUCUGAAAUGCAUUAAAAAUAGUUAAAUAUUAUUCUAAUAUAAAACAUCUGUUUUCUGUGUGAAUCUGGGUUAAAGUGUAAUUUAUUUCUGUGAUGCUCCGCUGUAUUUUCAGCAUCAUUCCUCCAGUCUUCAGUGUCACAUGAUCUUCAGAAAUCAGAAUAAUAUGAUGAUUUACUGCUCAAGAAACAUUUCUGAUUAUUAUCAGUGUUGAUAACAAUAAUAUUUUUGUGGAAACUGUGAUGCAUUUUAUUUUUCAGGAUUCACAGAUGAAU